rnacentral:misc_RNA from 1 species
AACCUAGCACACCUGCGGUGUGUACCUGCGGAAGGAUCAUUAGCGAGUCUAGCACUCCAUAACCUUUGUGAACAUACCACUGUUGCUUCGGCGGCUCGCACGGGGUGCGCUGUCCACGGCACGCCCCGGGCCCCGCCGAGGACCCCUAAACUCUUGUUUUCCCAGCGAAUCUUCUGAGUAUAGAAUAAGCAAUAAAAACUUUUAGCAACGGAUCU